GUUCUGCAGCAUCCAUUCUCCACUUGUCCAAGAGCAAUCCGACAGCUUAAAGUGCUCCUUGGAGACACCAUGAGAUCAAGAGCAGCGUCAGCACCUUUGAUCUCUGAAACAGCAAGGAUUUGCCACGUGGAAAUAAGCAGAUGAUCCGACAGCCCAAAGCACACACCUUACUAUGAAGACGUACAAAAGCCCCUUCCAGUGAUUCCGUUCACUCAGAGAAAAUCUCUUCCUGACCUUGCACCUGCAUGCCGUAUUCUCCUGCAGUCAAUCAUACCUGCACUGGUUGGGAUGUUUUCAAGCUGGGACAGGAAGGUGAAUGAAGAAAUGGGUGCUACAAGAAAAGCUGAGGAAGAAAUAAUGGUCUUGUGGAGAUGUUUCUGAGGAAACAUCUCAUCAGGAAACACCAGGAAACUGCUCAUCCCAGAUGGACACAGCCCAGCACUGCUUGAGGCUGUCCCUUGGAGCCCUCCAGCAACUGUAUUAUCAUGGAUGCUGGGGAUCAGAGCUGUACAGCAGAUGGCUGGAGAGAAGACGUGAACCUGUCGAUUGCAGGGACUAAGUGGGUCUGAAGGGCCUUUUGUUUGAUCAGAGCUGUGGUUAUUACCCCUGACAGUCACAGGCGGGGAAGUCUCCAAGGUGUGUUUGACUGAGUUAAGGUGCCUUUGAUGCAAACUUCUCUUCAUCCCAUUUAAACGGGGGAUCAUUUCCAUUCACAGUGAGGGGAAGCUAAUGCAGUGCCAGGCAGCAGCAGCAAUGCAGCUGGUGCAGUGGGAUGCCUUCACCUACCUGGAAGCGUGGUCUUGUCUUCCUGAGGUUUGGGAACGCCUCUCUGAGUCGGAUGGAGGUUUGCCCCAUGGUAGCACAUCUUGAUGGAGAAGCCCCAAAAAUGCAUGCGGUGCUUUAGAGAUGGAACGAGGGCCAUUUUCUACCUAAAUCCCUUCUCUGUGUGUGUUUAAUAACACAGAUGUCUAUAAAGCAAAUGCCAGCUGAUUAUCAGAAAACAUAUUUGCUGAGCUUGAACAACUUUGUAAUAAUCAAACACCACAGAUAAACACUGACUAUAUGGUUUCGUAACUUCAGAGAUUGGGUUUAUAAUCUGUUGCGUAGCAAAAUAAUAAAUAAGCAUACAGCAAACCCUCCAGAUGACUGCAAAUGUAAAUGGAGUCCCUGGAGCUGCUGCUGUCUUGUGGCUCCCAGCUCACUCUUUUGGGGAUCAUAGAAUCACAGAAAGUCUGAGGUUGGAAGGGACCUUAAAAAUCUUUGAGCUCCAGCAUCCUACCAUAGGAAGGAUGGCCACUCAUUAGAUCAGGCUGUCCAGGGCUGCCACCAAGGAUGGAGGUGGAAAUCAGUUCUCUGGGUAUUGAGCACUGUGUUCAAAGUGAUUGUUGGGUGUUUCUAAUUCUUCCCUCCUAUAGCUGUGGAGGGUCUCUCCCCCAGGUCACAGCCUGACCAGGACCCAAAAGGUGGGAGCCUUCCUCCACCCACUCCUCACCUUGCUGAGGCACAGUCUGCAGUGUUGGAGGAGAAAUUGGUGGUGUGGAGCUCAAGCAUGUGCUCAUUUCACACUCUCUGUAGCAGCUCUGUUGUGGAGGAAGGUGAGGAGGAAGAGAGGCCACUCUGCGAGCCAUGAGCUGUGCGCUCGGAGCUCCAGAGGCUGCUCCUGGGGCAAGUCUCCACUCAGUGGGAGUAGUUCAUGCACUACCAUGAAGAAUGCAGCCAUGAGGAACAUGUGGGGUGUUCUGCUGCUCAGCACAGUGCUGCUCACAUUGAUCCUCUGUGGAACAAUCCAUGCUCCUUGGGAAAGCAGUGCUAUUCCUGCUCCGAACUGUGACCCUACAACUGGAUCCUUGAUGGGUGAAGAGCAAGCAGUUCACCUAACGAAUUGUGCAUACACAUGCAUGCAUACUCCACACUGGAAAGCACCUUUCAGAUGCAUCCUGUGCUGAGUACCUCCAAACUGCAUUAUCCUUGGAAAUCUCCCCUGUCUCAAGAGCUUGCAAGCAAUAGUGAGUGGCCCUGGCUCCAGUAUUGAUACCUGUUCUGCAAUCAACUCUGCCAUCAGUUUUGGUUUUGAUAUUGUUUCCAGUUCAUUAACCAUGGCUGGAAGAAGGUGGCUUGCCACAUGGCAGUCAGCAAAGCAGAAUAUCAGAUGUGGCUUGAUCAAAUUCAAAGCAGUACGAGAUGUGGAACAGAUUACAGGCUGGAUCACAUAAGCCACAAGCCACAUUAAAAGUAUAAGAACUACAAUAGAUAUUCUGCUCUCACACUUCAACACGAUCCUGAAUGAAAGGAUUUCCCUUGCCUCCAGCCCUUCUCUCCCCCAAAAAAGGAUUUCUGUCUCCAGGAAAUGCAAUCCUGUUGCAUGAAGUACCUUGGGUACUGUGAGCAUCUUUGCAUAACAAUGUCAUGUCAAACAAAUUCCCUCCUGCUCCUUGUCUACUGCCUGAUGUAUUGUGCCC
ensembl:lncRNA